rnacentral:rRNA from 1 species
CCUACGGGUGGCAGCAGUGGGGAAUAUUGCGCAAUGGGCGAAAGCCUGACGCAGCGACGCCGCGUGAGGGAUGAAGGUCUUCGGAUCGUAAACCUCUGUCAGCAGGGAAGAACGGUCACUGUGCUAAUCAGCAGUGAAUUGACGGUACCUGCAAAGGAAGCACCGGCUAACUCCGUGCCAGCAGCCGCGGUAAUACGGAGGGUGCGGGCGUUAAUCGGAAUUACUGGGCGUAAAGCGCUCGUAGGCGGUAUGUCAAGUCACGGGUGAAAUCCCCGCGCUCAACGUGGGAACUGCCUGUGAAACUGGCAAGCUGGAGUGUGUGAGGGGAUAGUGGAAGUGCAGGUGUAGGAGGGAAAUCGGGAGA